CCCUAAAGUCUCAAUAUACCUGGCGAAUUGCCAAUACGAAGCUAAAGUGACCAGGGUUAAAAUGUAAAUAUGUUAAAAGAGUAUUUUAUAGAAUUUAAAUAGUUUCAUUGUUAUUGAUAUCUGUAUUAAUAUAGGGAGGUGACCAUUCUACAUUGAUCCAGUGCCUUUUUAUGGGAUUCGAAACUGUGACUGUGAGAUGUAUGAGAGUUUGACUUCUAGGCGGGCAAUUCUACUUUCACUUUAAACGGAUGGCAGGUGCCUGAGUGUAUCUCGACCCAUUUCCAGGCUAGCAUCAGAUGUCAUGAUGGACCUUUAAAAUCUUUCACAUGUGUACUUUCAAGAACCAUAUACAUUAUUUUUGAAAAUUGGUUGCCAUGGUAAUAAAAUCUGAAAAUUAAAACAUGGGCUUCUGAAGGCGAAUUUUCCUCCAUUUCCUGGUAGUUUGUGACCUUAAGCACAAAUCAGCUUGAAACUUGAAUUUUCCAGGCAAGAAUUUUUUUGUUUAUUGUGUUUAAAUAUGAUGUUUAUGCUUGAAAUAUGAAGUUUAUACUUAAUAUUAUUGAUUUCAUUGAAAUUGAAGGUCAUCGAUUAGUAAAUAUGUCAGAAGUAUUCUUAGCAAUUGGUCGAGUGUGAGUGCAAGACAUUUCUCCUCAGCCAUAAAUUUUCUAUGAAAGUUUUUUGCAAUGCUAAUGAUGGAUGUGUGUGUGUAUGUGUGUGUGUGUGUGUGUGUGUGUGUGUGUGUGUAUCUGUCUGUGUGUGUGUGUCUGUCUGUGUGUGUGUGUCUGUCUGUCUGUGUGUGUGUGUGUGUCUGUCUGUCAGUGUGUGUGUGUCUGUCUGUCUGUGUGUGUGCGUGCCUGUCUAUGUGCGUGCGUGCAUGCAUGCAUGCAUGCAUGUGUACGUGUCUGUCUGUGUGUCUAUGUGUUUGUCUGUGUGACUGACUAUGUGUUUGUGUGUGUGUCUGUCUGUCUGUGUGUGUUUGUCUGUCCGUGUGUGUGUUUGUCUGUGUGUGUGUGUUUGUCUGUCUGUAUAUGUAUGUGUGUGUGUGUGUGUGUCUGUCUAUGUAUGUUUGUCUGUCUGUCUAUACCCGUUCUAUGUGUGUGUUUAUCAGUGAGUGUGUGUGUCUGUCUGUGUGUGUUUGUCUAUGUAUGUGUUGUGUGUAUCUGUCUGUGUGUCUGUCAGGUAGUCAUAGAGAAACAGAUAAAGCUUCAGAAUAUAAAUUUCAAUUUUAUUGAAUUCACUGUAUAUUGCAUAAGGAUCACUAACAUAGGUGUGAUACACUGUACAUCUACUGGAGUACACCGACUUUUCAGAAACUUUUUGAUAUGUCAUCCAUACGCAGCCUGGCAUGAAACCGCUUCUGUUUGUCUAUUUGAAUUACAACAGUGGAUCUACAUAGGCUAGCUUAACUAUGACAUCAUAAUAUAACACGUAAUGUGAUGUCAUAAUAGAGUAAUGACAUCAGCUUUUUUUUUUUUUUUUUUUUCUUUUUUUUUUGGCUAGAGUUAUCUUCCUUGACAAAUAUUCUUCUUCAUACAAAGGUCUCUUAUUUUGACUUACGUUUAUUAGAUAAAAGCAUGAUAUCAGGGUCAUUUAUUAAAAAUGUGACGGUUUAGACGAACCAAUUUUUAGGGCAAAUUUCUCAUUGAAAUAAGUUUUUUUGAACUUGAAAAAACAAAAAACAGACUCUCCAGGAUUGCUCAAGUUAACAUCCUUACUGGCCAUUUCAGGGUUUUUUUCCCCUACAAUUCCUUUUAUUUCACAUCAAAUUUCCUUUACAUACAAUUCUAGUCUUUAUUUGGAAUCAAAAUCACAUGUAUUUCACUCAGUUCUGGGUCUUUUAUUCUAUUUUCAACUUUACCAAGGGGAAUAACUCUGCUGGAAACAGUGAUGGGAAGAGGGCAGUUUUUGUUCACUCAUUUCAAGAUAUAAUUAACAAUAACUCCCCAUGUAUGAUACAUCAUUUUAUUCGGAAAAACUUAAAUUUUUAAACAGUAUAGGUAUUUCAUGAUGUCGUAGAAUUUCCGCAGUCUUUAAAGUCUCAAUAUACCUGGCGAAUUGCCAAUACGAAGCUAAAGUGACCAGGGUUAAAAUGUAAAUAUGUUAAAAGAGUAUUUUAUAGAAUUUAAAUAGUUUCAUUGUUAUUGAUAUCUGUAUUAAUAUAGGGAGGUGACCAUUCUACAUUGAUCCAGUGCCUUUUUAUGGGAUUCGAAACUGUGACUGUGAGAUGUAUGAGAGUUUGACUUCUAGGCGGGCAAUUCUACUUUCACUUUAAACGGAUGGCAGGUGCCUGAGUGUAUCUCGACCCAUUUCCAGGCUAGCAUCAGAUGUCAUGAUGGACCUUUAAAAUCUUUCACAUGUGUACUUUCAAGAACCAUAUACAUUAUUUUUGAAAAUUGGUUGCCAUGGUAAUAAAAUCUGAAAAUUAAAA